rnacentral:rRNA from 1 species
UUUUUGCAUAUCAAAAAGCGGAGGAAAAGAAACCAACAGGGAUUGCCCUAGUAACGGCGAGUGAAGCGGCAACAGCUCAAAUUUGAAAUCUGGCCUCUUUUGGGGUCCGAGUUGUAAUUUGCAGAGGGCGCUUUGGAGUCGGCAGCGGUCCAAGUUCCUUGGAACAGGACGUCACAGAGGGUGAGAAUCCCGUACGUGGUCGCUAGCCUUCUCCGUGUAAAGCCCCUUCGACGAGUCGAGUUGUUUGGGAAUGCAGCUCUAAAUGGGAGGUAAAUUUCUUCUAAAGCUAAAUAUUGGCCAGAGACCGAUAGCGCACAAGUAGAGUGAUCGAAAGAUGAAAAGCACUUUGGAAAGAGAGUCAAAAAGCACGUGAAAUUGUUGAAAGGGAAGCGCUUGCAGCCAGACUUGCCUGUAGUUGCUCAUCCGGGCUUUUGCCCGGUGCACUCUUCUAUAGGCAGGCCAGCAUCAGUUUGGGCGGUUGGAUAAAGGUCUCUGUCAUGUACCUCUCUUCGGGGAGGAACUUAUAGGGGAGACGCCAUGCAACCAGCUCAGACUGAGGUCCGCGCAUUCGCUAGGAUGCUGGCGUAAUGGCUGUAAGCGGCCCGUCUUGAAACACGGACCCAAAAA